UUGUAGCCUGCUAUGGUAUAACUUAGUGGCAGACGGGUGAGUAAUGUAUAGGAAUCUACCUAGUAGUACGGAAUAAUUGUUGGAAACGGCAACUAAUACCGUAUACGCCCUACGGGGGAAAAAUUUAUUGCUAUUAGAUGAGCCUAUAUUAGAUUAGCUAGUUGGUGGAGUAAUAGCCUACCAAGGCAAUGAUCUAUAGCUGAUCUGAGAGGAUGAUCAGCCACACUGGAACUGAGAUACGGUCCAGACUCCUACGGGAGGCAGCAGUGGGGAAUAUUGGACAAUGGGCGAAAGCCUGAUCCAGCCAUGCCGCAUGAGUGAAGAAGGCCUUUGGGUUGUAAAGCUCUUUUAGUGAGGAAGAUAAUGACGGUACUCACAGAAGAAGUCCUGGCUAACUCCGUGCCAGCAGCCGCGGUAAUACGGAGAGGGCUAGCGUUAUUCGGAAUUAUUGGGCGUAAAGGGCGCGUAGGCUGGUUAAUAAGUUAAAAGUGAAAUCCCGAGGCUUAACCUUGGAAUUGCUUUUAAAACUAUUAACCUAGAGAUUGAAAGAGGAUAGAGGAAUUCCUGAUGUAGAGGUAAAAUUCGUAAAUAUUAGGAGGAACACCAGUGGCGAAGGCGUCUAUCUGGUUCAAAUCUGACGCUGAAGCGCGAAGGCGUGGGGAGCAAACAGGAUUAGAUACCCUGGUAGUCCACGCUGUAAACGAUGAAUGUUAAAUAUGGGAAGUUUACUUUCUGUAUUACAGCUAACGCGUUAAACAUUCCGCCUGGGGACUACGGUCGCAAGAUUAAAACUCAAAGGAAUUGACGGGGACCCGCACAAGCGGUGGAGCAUGUGGUUUAAUUCGAUGCAACGCGAAAAACCUUACCACUUCUUGACAUGAAAAUCAUACCUAUUC
rnacentral:rRNA from 1 species